UAUUUCAUUGAAGAUCCCUGUAUACUUGAGGCCUUCUAAAGAACAAUCCCCUCAGAUCCAGAAGCCAUUUGUGAAGAUUUCUGGAGUCGGUGUCUGCCACAGAGAUUUCUCUGGAGUCUUAAGGACUACUCCAAAGAUCAGAGAUGUGUAUCACGGUAGUCCAUGUGAGUUUUUCCAUUAUCCUGUUUUGGAGUGUGAUUCUUGACUGGCUUAAGUUUACCCACGAGAUAUAGGCAUGGAUUCAGUGAAGCUGUGAGACCUGAUUACACGUUCACCUGGGCAAGAGAGAGGAGCAGAGGCUGUCUGUCCAGAGUCCUUCAGCAGGGCAGCUGAGCCAAGCAACUGGCACUCAUUUACACACAUAGCGUGAUUAUCUCUCCCAAGGAUGAACAGUUAAGCAAAUGUUGAAUCAGUUUCCAAAUUACUGUUCUUUUUUCUAUUUCUAAAGCACAGCAUUUUUCAACAAUGAUACCGUAGUGAAAUGUCAGUCUUGUCCUGAGAUAUUUUCUUAAUAAAAUAGGAACAGAGAUAAAAGACACAAGAGUAUUAUAGAGAAAAGAAAGAGAGAAGUGGCUGAGGGGUUACACUGUUAUACAAGUGACAAGAAAUCAUAUCAAAACUCUUUAAUUAGCCCUUUUUCCCUUUCACAGCCCAAAAUAAUUAUUUGAUAUUAACUAUUUUCAUUGUUUCCUGCUAGAUUGAGUGCACUUAUGAAAUAUAUUUACAGUAAAACAAGCUCUGAAGAAGCAAUGGCUUUAGCAUUACUAGGAGAAUACAUUCUGUAUCCAUGAGAACUUGAAAUUUGCCAGUAUUUCACUUUCACUUAAAAAAAAAAAAAAAAGACACUUUAGCUGUUUAUAAGCUAUCAUAUUUCUAUGUGUUUGGAACAAAUAUAAGGGUUUCUUAUUUGUUUACUUCCAAAAUUUACUACGCAUGUUGCACACUACAAAAAAGAAAUCAUACAAAAAAGAAAGAAAUAUUUUAAUGCUGUUUAAGUGGAAGGCUUUGAAAUAAAUAUAACAGCUUGUAUGUUAUUUUCUUCAGGAAAAAAAUCAAAAUGGUCAACUUUAUGUCGAUUGUGAACUAAUCCAGGUCUUGAAACCAAAAUAAUUAAAUGUGGCGUUCCUAUCCUUCACAAUGGAUUUGUCAUGAGUUUCUACUUGAUUCUGCUUUUGUUGCUGCUGACCACAGAGAGAUACACUGACCUGCACUUAAUCCCCUCUAGCAAACUAUUCCACUGCAGUGUUUUUAUCUUUAUCUUGGUAAAUUUAAGUUCCUUCUCGUUACCGUUCAGUUAUUCUUUUGGCUGAGCAUUACAUAAAAAUUUAGAGAAC
rnacentral:lncRNA from 1 species